UACGUAGGGGGCAAGCGUUGUCCGGAUUUAUUGGGCGUAAAGAGCGUGUAGGCGGCCAUACAGGUCAGCUGUGAAAACUCGAGGCUCAACCUCGAGACGUCGGUUGAAACCGUAUGGCUAGAGUCCGGAAGAGGAGAGUGGAAUUCCCGGUGUAGCGGUGAAAUGCGCAGAUAUCGGGAGGAACACCGGUGGCGAAGGCGGUUCUCUGGGCCUUACCUGACGCUGAGGAGCGAAAGCGUGGGGAGCGAACAGG
rnacentral:rRNA from 1 species